rnacentral:rRNA from 1 species
AGUGAACGCUGGCGGUAGGCCUAACACAUGCAAGUAGAACGGCAGCACAGUAAGAGCCUGCUCUUACGGGUGGCGAGUGGCGGACGGGUGAGGAAUACAUCGGAAUCUACUUUUUCGUGGGGGAUAACGUAGGGAAACUUACGCUAAUACCGCAUACGACCUACGGGUGAAAGCAGGGGAUCUUCGGACCUUGCGCGAUUGAAUGAGCCGAUGUCGGAUUAGCUAGUUGGCGGGGUAAAGGCCCACCAAGGCGACGAUCCGUAGCUGGUCUGAGAGGAUGAUCAGCCACACUGGAACUGAGACACGGUCCAGACUCCUACGGGAGGCAGCAGUGGGGAAUAUUGGACAAUGGGCGCAAGCCUGAUCCAGCCAUACCGCGUGGGUGAAGAAGGCCUUCGGGUUGUAAAGCCCUUUUGUUGGGAAAGAAAAGCAGCAGGUUAAUACCCCGCUGUUCUGACGGUACCCAAAGAAUAAGCACCGGCUAACUUCGUG